GAUCAUGGCUCAGGAUGAACGCUAGCUACAGGCUUAACACAUGCAAGUCGAGGGGAGACGACAUCGAAAGCUUGCUUUUGAUGGGCGUCGACCGGCGCACGGGUGAGUAACGCGUAUCCAAUCUGCCCACCACUUGGGGAUAACCUUGCGAAAGUAAGACUAAUACCCAAUGAUAUCUCUAGAAGACAUCUGAAAGAGAUUAAAGAUUUAUCGGUGAUGGAUGGGGAUGCGU
rnacentral:rRNA from 1 species